rnacentral:rRNA from 1 species
AAGACCUUGCGCUUUUGGAGCGGCCGAUGCCUGAUUAGCUUGUUGGUAAGGUAAAAGCUUACCAAGGCUUCGAUCAGUAGCUGGUCUGAGAGGACGGCCAGCCACACUGGGACUGAGACACGGCCCAGACUCCUACGGGAGGCAGCAGUGGGGAGUUUUGGACAAUGGGGGCAACCCUGAUCCAGCCAUGCCGCGUGAGUGAAGAAGGCCUUCGGGUUGUAAAGCUCUUUCAGCCGGAACGAAACGGUUACGGUUAAUACCCGUGAUUACUGACGGUACCGGAAGAAGAAGCACCGGCUAACUACGUGCCAGCAGCCGCGGUAAUACGUAGGGUGCGAGCGUUAAUCGGAAUUACUGGGCGUAAAGCGUGCGCAGGUGGUUUUGUAAGUCAGAUGUGAAAGCCCCGGGCUCAACCUGGGAACU